GUGACCCCAGGACGGGCGAGGCCACCCGCCGAGUUUAAG
rnacentral:rRNA from 2 species